ensembl:lncRNA
UGUCUCUGUGUGAUGUCACAGCCAUCCAAGGCUUGAACCUGGUGCAGGUCAGAUGGUCUGUUUGUCUCUGUGUGAUGUCACAGCCAGACGAGGCUUGAACCUGGUGCAGGUCAGAUGGUCUGUUUGUCUCUGUGUGAUGUCACAGCCAGACAAGGAUUCUUCAGUUCUUUCCUGUCUCUGUAAUCAUUUGUCCUUUCCAUCUCUGACCACACAUGUUCCAGUGUCCACGCUUAAAGGACACACAGUCAAAUCAGUCUGAGACAUAGGAAAGCUCUGGGUUGGAGGCCUUUCACUCUGUGGUCCUGCUCUCUGUAUGUAUAUAGUAGGUUAAUAUAGAAGUUGGAGACCUUUCACUCUGGUCCUGCUCUCUGUAUGUAUAUAGUAGGUUAAUAUAGAAGUUGGAGGCCUUUCACUCUGGUCCUGCUCUCUGUAUGUAUAUAGUAGGUUAAUAUAGAAGUUGGAG